AUCAAAUUUACAUUCAAUUCAUCCAAACGCAGAUUAACAUUGAUAUCAUUUUGGAGUAUUUUAUACGCCUAAAUGAAUCAUCCUUUGGUUUAAGUAACAAAUAUUUUUUCUUCAUCAAAAUAAAACAAUGGCGCUGUACAAAUUGUGAAAAUGUAAAACAAAUCAAAUUGUUUGGACAAGUUCAGAUAAAUCAGUUUGUCAAUUGUUUGUAUUUCACCGCAUAACAACAAACAAAAAAACAGUUGCGGUGGUAAUAAACAAUGGCAACUAUAAAUUGGAAGGCAAGUAAAAAGUUUUGCUAUUAAACCAAAAUAUUCUGUUAGUUUCAGGUAAUUUACGAAGCUCAGAUACUACGUUCAGAUAUGAAAAUGUGCUGCAAAAUAUUUAUCAUAGUCCUUAUAAUUGUUCUUAACACAGUGUUAGAUUGUAAAGUGAAUGCUUUAAAAUGUGACGAUUGCACAACUAACUUUGAUCUUUGUUUAAAUACUUCACGAUCUCUUAAAUCAACUUUCAAUGAAUCUGCACAACAGUUUCAAGUGUGCCGUGCAGCUAAAGAGUCAUGUUUUGAAGAUUGUCGUAACAAGAAAUAGAAGUAUCAUGUUUUGAGAUUUGCCAAAAACAACAAAAAUAGAAAAACAUUUUGUUAACAUUAAAAAUAAAAAGUAAAAUUUGUGUUCUUGUGGUGUUUGUUUUUGUAAUGUGAGAAAAAUAUUCUUUUGAUAAGAGAUGUGUUCUUUUGAGAUUUUGGUGAGAGAGUGAUGCGUGAUCUUUGAAUGUGAAACUAAUGAAAAUGUUUGUAUUUAAAACUAUAAAAAAUAUCUUAUGUUAUUUUAAAAAGCUAUUUAUUUAAACGACUUGUAUAUUUAUGUUAUUUAAAAAAGUUAUCGUAAA